rnacentral:lncRNA from 1 species
UAUAGUUCACUCUGUGGGUUGCUCUGUGAAUGUAUGGGAAUGGUGAGAUCUCACCCAUGCAAUCAAUGGCAAUUACUGAUCAUCUUGUCCUCAUGCCUCCUCGACUUAGACUCUUUCUACUGGGCUCCAGUAUUUACAUUGCUGCCAGGAGCUCUUCCAUCGCGGUGCUGCUUUGCCAAUUUAUCUUCCUGAGUCUGCAGUUCAUGGCCUGUAACCUUCUUCUGGUGACUGGAAUUACACAAGAAAAUCAGGAACAUUCAUUUUUUACCUUUGUUGGAACCGACUGGGGUAGUGGUGGAAAGCCUCCAGUGUAGUCCUUCGACAAGCUGAGAUUGAAUCACUGACUGACUGCGAAAGAGCCCCCUUCUCCCCUCCUCUCCUGGGCCCUGAUUGCAGGUUUGACUCCUGGCACUGACUUUGAUACUUGGAAUUUUGAGGUUCAGGGACUUCAGAGAAUUUGGCAGCACAGCGUAUUGGGAGAAACGGAAAUUUCAGGAGAUGGAUUGAUCACCCUGGUUGACAUGUUUCUGGAAGUGGGUGAGUGGGUUUGAUUGAGAACAUUUUGGGCUCUUGCACUGAUGGUGGGAAAGAAAAAUUCAUGGCGGCACUUCUCAUAAUAAUUCUCUCCCCUGAAAAGAAAGAUUAUGAUAAAGAAUAAUUUGGAAUAAUAAGUAACAAGAUAGAAUUAGAAAAAUGUUGACUUUCCAGAUGACCAGUCAGAAGUGUGGCUUUUUUCACAUCUUUUUCUCCUGCAAUGAUCUGCUCCCAAGUGCUGCACUGCAAUACCAGUCUAACUAACACUUUGUGAAACAAAUUGUUAAGUGUGUAUGUAUGCAUAUCAAGCUAUGCUCUGAGGAUAAAGCAAGUUCUAAUUUGUGGAAAAAGGAUUAAGUAUUUCUGUUUUCUGAAAAAGAAAAAUGUAGAGUAUCUUCCUAUUGCUUCAAACCCUAUACUUCAAUAUCCAAUGUUCGAUAUCUCCAUUAGCCCCAUUGUAUCUUUCACAAUUCAUCCCUCACUGCUUUCUCAUGGGGCCUUCUAUUCUAGCAAGGAAACAUUUUCUUCUCCCCUCCCCCCUGUCAUUUCUCCUUCUUUGGUAAUGUUUUUCCAUUUCUUCCCCUCCAAUCCAAAGC